GUGUGUCUUUGCUCCCCAUGUGUUCCGUGACCCUGUUUCUGUCUCUCGUGUAUCAAGUUCAUUUGUCCCAGGUGUUUCCAAUGUUUAUUGUCUCCUUAGCUCCAGGUGUCCCUUGUCUUCCUCUCAUCAGUUCCUGUGUAUUUAAAGUGUGUUCUAGUGCUUGUUCUUUGUCAGCUGUUAAACGUCAUUCUGUUCUCCUGAUGUGUCGAGUCCUGUGAUCCCCAGCCUUUAGAUCAGAAGAGCGCACG